CCUACGGGUGGCAGCAGUGGGGAAUAUUGCACAAUGGGGGAAACCCUGAUGCAGCGACGCCGCGUGAGUGAAGAAGUAUUUCGGUAUGUAAAGCUCUAUCAGCAGGGAAGAAAUAAAGUCCUUCGGACUUUGGACGGUACCUGACUAAGAAGCCCCGGCUAACUACGUGCCAGCAGCCGCGGGAAUACGUAGGGGGCAAGCGUUAUCCGGAUUUACUGGGUGUAAGGGGAGCGUAGACGGCAGCGCAAGUCUGGAGUGAAAUCCCAUGGCUUAACCAUGGAACUGCUUGGGAAACUGUGCAGCUGGAGUGGAGGAGAGGUAAGGGGAAUUCCUAGUGUAGCGGGGAAAGGCGUAGAUAUUAGGAGGAACACCAGUGGCGAAGGCGGCUUACUGGACUGUAACGGACGUGGAGGCUCGAAAGCGUGGGGAGGAAACAGGAUUAGAUACCCCUGUAGUC
rnacentral:rRNA from 1 species